GACGACGCUGGCGGCGUGCCUAACACAUGCAAGUCGAGCGGGGUUGAAGCGAGAGGUAACUCGAACUUCUACCUAGCGGCGGACGGGUGAGUAACGCGUGGGCAACCUGCCUCAAGGUCUGGGAUAACAGCCCGAAAGGGCUGCUAAUACCGGGUAUGCUUGUGGCCUCGCAUGGGGCUACGAGCAAAGGGGAAACCCGCCUUGAGAUGGGCCCGCGUCCCAUCAGCUAGUUGGUGAGGUAACAGCUCACCAAGGCGACGACGGGUAGCCGGCCUGAGAGGGUGACCGGCCACACUGGGACUGAGACACGGCCCAGACUCCUACGGGGGGCAGCAGUGGGGGAUCUUGCACAAUGGGCGAAAGCCUGAUGCAGCGACGCCGCGUGAGCGAAGAAGGCCUUCGGGUUGUAAAGCUCUGUCUGGAGGGACGAAGGAAGUGACGGUACCUCCGGAGGAAGCCACGGCUAACUACGUG
rnacentral:rRNA from 1 species